UACGUAGGGUGCAAGCGUUGUCCGGAAUUAUUGGGCGUAAAGAGCUUGUAGGCGGUUUGUCGCGUCUGCUGUGAAAAUCCGGGGCUCAACCCCGGACUUGCAGUGGGUACGGGCAGACUAGAGUGUGGUAGGGGAGACUGGAAUUCCUGGUGUAGCGGUGAAAUGCGAAGAUAUCAGGAGGAACACCGAUGGCGAAGGCAGGUCUCUGGGCCACUACUGACGCUGAGAAGCGAAAGCAUGGGGAGCGAACAGG
rnacentral:rRNA from 1 species